rnacentral:rRNA from 1 species
UACAGGGGGGGCAAGCGUUGUUCGGAAUUACUGGGCGUAAAGGGUUCGUAGGUGGCCACUUAAGUCAGACGUGAAAUCCCUCAGCUUAACUGGGGAACUGCGUCUGAUACUGAGUGGCUUGAGUGCAGGAGAGGGAUGCGGAAUUCCAGGUGUAGCGGUGAAAUGCGUAGAUAUCUGGAGGAACACCGGUGGCGAAGGCGC